CCUGUGGGUGAAAGGUAGUUUGGGAAAGAUGUCGAGGGUAGACAAAUCAGGGGCCUGUACUCCUAACCCCACUUACUGUCACAUUUCACUGCUGCCACAGUGAAACUGAACACACCCUCGGAAAUGGCCUCCCCUGUCCCGGCAAAGCUCCCUCCAAAGAUAGCUUGGUCCAGGUGGGGGAGAGGUCAUCUAAGGCUCAAGGUCCUGGUGUUCACUUUGGAACUCUACACGAUUUCAGAUGAAGCCGCAGGGUCAGUGCUGCGGCCAUGUGCUUUCCAUGUGAAUGCGUCUGGGACUGUUAGCAUUUGGCAUCCCUCUUUGCUCCACACAUAAUAUCACCAGAUCCUCUCUCAUUCACGCUUACUCUAAGAGUAGCUACCCAGUCACAACAGUUGUGGGAACCUCUGGGCAACAACAGGGCAGGGACAUCUGCAGUGACUCUCAUGCACUCCCAUGCCUGUGCUUGGCUUAGCUGAGAUCUAACCACACCCUCUUGCUGAUGCCUCCCAUCAUCCUCUCCUUCAGCAAAAGCGGUCUUUGUCUACCUUCGCCUAUCCUGUCUGAGUCCACCCUGGUUCCCAGAGGCUGUGGGUCAACCAAGGACUGGCCUGCCGGAUAGAACGAAGGCACUUGACCCAGAAACCUGAGUAUCCUGCCAGAUCCAAGGCCCCAUCCUGCGUACCAGUCACCCUCAUUGUUUGCUCCUGCAUGGAGUCGUUCUCCCUCCUGUAGCCAAGGGGCUGAAGCUCCUUGGUAAUAUGUAUUCCUCCUCCUCGAGAAACACAGAUGGCCCGGGAGAGGAUGCUUGGGGGAAGGUACCAGGAACGGUAGGAAAUCCUCAGAGAGAUCACUGCUAGAGCCAGCCUUAAACCUAGCCAGGAACUGCCGACAGUUAAGGAAGGGAAAGUGCCAAGAAAUCCUCUCUCCCUCCUGGUGAAACCCACCCACACGGCCACGCAGGAACACAACCUGUGCUUCAGCCCUAGCGAUGUUCCUCCCUCUCCCGCUCCAGCAGCUCAGUGCUAGGCUAGGCACCCAGCGGGGACGUGGAGAUGGGCUCCCCCUGGCAGCAGUGGGGAGGGAAGGAGAGGAUGAAGAACAGAGAUCAGGGAGGGGGCAUCUAUACAUGGGUGCUGGACUCUAGUAGGAAGGAGAAAUCAGGAUCAAGGGAUAGGCCAGGUGCUCUGUAAGGUCGGCAUCUCUAAGACAGAGGGGACCUCACGGGCACUUUCAAGGACUGGGGAAACCACCUUGUACGGAAGCCAUGUUGGGAGCAUAGUAUGGAAUAUACUUGUCACCACUGUCCUCAGAAAGGCAUUUAAAUGCCUUUCUCUGUCUGCUCCUCCCUCCCUGACUUCUCUCCAGUCACAAAGCACUCACCUCACUGUUUCCUGUCUUCCAGGCUCAACUGAGUUUGGUCACUGUGCAGCUCUCUGUAUCAGCUCACUGGCAACACCCAGCUCUGAUGGCUGCUUUCCUAGAGCUGGCCCACCUCUCUGCCUCCUUGGGCCUCACACACCAGGACCCUGGCAGCCCCAGCCGGCUCAUCACUGUGUGACAGGGCAUGCUAUUCUAGGCUGAGCUGCUGAACCCAGAACUUCAUACAUCCACCUCUGCAGAGCAGACCAGGAAGACUUCUCUGGGCUGACAUAGAAACUCCUUCUUCGUCUACUGUAGAACCUGCCCUAAGAGGACAGGCCCCUGGGUGUGUGUGGUGUGUGCACUAGGGGUUAGCCGGUGGAUUUCCAGAACUGGGUGUGAUCAGGGCAGAUGAAACACAAGACAGGUUAAGUCUUCCUUAGAACGUGUGUGUGUGUGUGUGUGUGUGUGUGUGUGUGUGUGUUUACACAGGACAGCCGGAAGCAGAGGUCAGCCCAGCUGCUACCGUGGUUUGGGAACAGGAUUAAAAAAACUACAACAUGCUGGGCUAGUGCUGGUUGCUGGGCAGUGCCUGUGUAUGUAACCAUAGCAACAGGGUUGGGUGGGGACUGGAGCAGAAAAAAGGGAAGUCUAGGUACUUGGCCUGUGAGCCACAAAGGAGCCAGAAGAAGCCUCAGAGGCAGGGGGCCCCACAACUAGACUUGCAAUUCCUCCCCAGGAGCACCCUAGCCUUCCCAUCCCUCCCCAGAGGCCCCAGGCUUCACCAGUAGCCUGUCCAGAGGUUAAAACCAGCCCAGUCUUCCCCUUUCCUGUCUACAUGCAGCCUGAGUCCUGGUUUCAUUGGAAAGACUUCAGAUCCAGUGAAGACUUCCAGACCCAAGACAGUGUGAGCCGUGGACGCACUUGUUAGUGUAAACACAUGGCUACUGUAUUGUCCUCUCACCCAUCACCAUCUGUGCUGUUCUCAGGAUAAGGGACAGGGCCAGGCAAGGCAGAUAAUCACAGCUGUUGCAACUAUGAACUCGAGCCACACUUACCUGUGAGUUACCAUCUUAUGAAGAGGACACUGAGGCUUUCGGAGAGACCGAAGGAUUUGUCCCUGGCCCCCAGCUAACGAGUGCAGUGCUGGAGCCUGGAUCCAGGAGUUGUGCCUCCAAAUGCAUCCUCCUCCUGCUCCCUCUCUGUUCUGUUAGGCACCGAAUGCCAGGAGCAGCUCCUACAAGCCCUGGAGUUCAGAACCUGAAAGGCUGCGGCCAUCCAUCCGUCCGUCAUGCAGAAGAAAUAGCUCAUCCAGCCCCACCCAGCCUGAGGCAUGGGGAGAAAGCAAGAGGCCCUGCUGGUGAGUAUAGGCUCCACCUUCAACUAGUACCUCAAAGGGGUGCAUCAGGAAGAUAACAACCUCCACAUGAGUGGCUUCAGGGAGCCAUGAAGAAUUCUCCCCCAACCUUGCCAGAGACCAUCUUUGCUUAGUCUCUGGCCACGCCACGGCAGGAAGCGGAACCUGUAUACAUCCGAGACCAGAGUGCUACAACAGGGCAGGUGACACUCACUUGUCUCCUUCGUAGAGGUGAGGUUUCCGAAGGGUCUGAGUGAUGAAAGAGUUCUCCUCCUUGCUCAUGAACUCAGGCAAAGGGUGGGACAGGGGGCUCCAGUAACAGUCCUCACUCAGGGAGUGCAGCAGGACCCCUGCCAGGUGCUUGGCUGCCACCUGGCCAGAGGGACAGACACAGGCCGGGUUUCUUGUCUUCUGCUUGCCUGUGUGGCCCUCUGUUUCCCAAUUAGCAAAUCCACCCAAUGCAUGCUGUGCUGGGCCUCUGGAGGCCCCCACAACUUCAAUCCUGAGUCCCUCACUGCUCAGCCCAUGUACCACUGAAGCCCCCCACACCCCCAGGGGAUGGCCUUGCUCUACUCCAUAUCUCCUCUCCUCCAUCCGCUUCUACCCUCUGAGGACUCUGCCGUCCCUUCUAAGGGUGGGAGAAGGCAGGAGGCCACAGGUACAGGAGGCUCCCUUCCAGACGCCAUCUAGAGACUGAAAGUUGGCCCAAAAUUCUUGUGAGAAUAAUAAAAUAAAAAUUUGGAGGAACGAAGGUCUAAGAACACAGACCUAAGUUUGGACUACGAAAGGAAUUUUUUAAGACCAUAAAGAAGGGCUGGGGAGAUGGCUCAGAGGUUAAGAGCACUGCUCAGAAGGACAGUUUUGCUCAUGCAAGGGAUGGUAGUAGAUUUCAGUUGUGUUCUAAGGUUAGAGGCCAUUCGUCUUCCGUGCCCUGAUGAAGAAGAUAUGAAGAGAGUGCCUCCCAGGCUUGGCGGGAAAGUACUCUGGGAUCAAUUAACAAUGUCUGCUGAGAGCAGAAGAGGGUAGGCACAGGUAUGCAUGUGGCAUGUUUAGGUCAGGGGCCUUCUGCUAGGGCUUGUGUUGUCUCCCACCCAAAUUGACCUCUGCAUAAACCAGCCGCAGCCAACCGCCACAUUACCACUUUGAAGUUCUGCGUCGCUUUGGUCUCCACGGUCCUCAGAAUCUCCCGGAGCUCUCUCAUGCCUUUCACGAUGUUCCUGGGAUAGGAUAGCAAAAGGUGGGACCGUUGCUAGCUGAGCUCCACAGACACCCUCAUAGCCCAGCACCUAACAGGCUGCCUGUCUGCUUGAGCUUUUUAAACACCUUCAGUCAGUGGGAUAAAAGCCAGAGUUGUAACUUCAGGACCCUCGAGGUCUAGGACAGGUACGCAGAGAAGGAAGUUGCUCAGCAACUUGGGCUUCAGAUUUAUAACAAAGACACCAGUACUACAAGUAAGAUGUCACCGGUCCAAGUGCCUUGGGCUGUGUUGGACUUUCUGGCCUCUCCAUUUGACCCAUGGUGCAAUGGGUCCAUGUUGAAAUCCGUCCUCAAUGGUCCGUACCACCAGGGCCUGCCUCACCUGGAUGACCACACCAGCCAGACCCACUCCCUCAGGGCGUUACAGCAUGACUCACACUGAAAAAAUAUACCUCACAUCACAACUUGGUAUUUGAGUACGCUUUCCUUAUACAAAACUGGGUUCUUGACCCACUAUCUAUCUGCAUGCAGCCACUUCUGACUGCUCCAACCCAUGCCUCUGCCUGCUCUGCCUCUUAAAGAUGCUGGCUGCAGCAUACCUGGUCCAUUUUGCAACCCAAAUAGGUUGUGUCCUACAGUUUGAAAGUGGGGUCAUGAUCCUUGGAGGUGUCUAGCCAACACGGAACCCCCUCUGGAACAUCCACCUGAGGCUAGGUCCUUUGGUGGAAGGAUCUAGUGGCCGUCCUCAGCCUAACCUUCUGGAGCUGCUUGGCUUUCCUCCUUACAUCUCAGCUCCCACCACUCAAGCAAGGUUUUGCUGGAUAACCGUAGUUCUCUUGUCAAGUCUCAGACAUGCUCCCCCUGCCAUCCUUAAAAAUACCAGUUCUAACAUCA